UGGUUACGUCGUUCAGGAAGGACACCAAGCUGGGGAACAGGUCCCAGUGGCGACAUUACUGCCAAUAAACAUGGAAAAGGCCAUUAUAUCUAUGCUGAGGCAUCCUACUGGCGUGCUYGGCGCGGCGACKUUGCUGAGCUUCGAAGUGCGAUGUUUCAACCCGCCCCUCAAGGUCUUUGCUUCAUGUUUGCGUAUAACAUGUACGGCAGUGGAAUGGGUUCUUUAGAGGUGUACGUCACUGAUUUAGAAUUUGGAAAUAGAAC